CUCGAGCCUUGUUUCUCGACGUUUCGCGACGGCGGCGCAGCGGCCGACUGCUUGCCUCCCACCUCGCGCAGCCUCUGCUGCUCACAUGCUCCUCCUCCCGUUGGUGUUGCCAUAUCCCUUGCCCCGGCCGCCGCCUCGCGCUCCACCUCUGGCUGCGUCUGUCUGCUCCUCCUCUAGCGGCCCACCUCCGCCUGCCCCCGUCACCAGAGUUCGAGGAGAGCCCGCGCUUCUCCCGCGUUGUCCGUUCUCUUACACAACGGCGCGCACGGCUUGAGCGGUGGCGGAGCGCGGUCCCCCUCCUCAUGUGGUCGUCGGGUGACAUGGUGGCGGCCGAGCUUCCCCAGGCACGGCGGGUGAGGCCUCACCACGAUGUCCCUCCCUGGGUAGAUCCAGCCUCCUUCAUCGGAGCUCGUUCAUGAUGGUGAUGGCGUAGACACGCGCACCGCUAUUGGCCUUUGCGGCUUUGCGUGGUUUCAACAGGUGGUGGACGGAGCUCCUCCUCGCGUCCGCUUGAGUGUUUGCAUCGAUUUUCAUCUAUUUUGUGCACAAAAAAUUGGUUUGUCCCUAUGCCUGUGAGUUUUGUUUCUAGCCAGAUAAGCACCAGCACAGCAUGUCGUCGCCAUCCGCGUCGCACCGGUUGCAGCCAUGGCGCACCUCGGUGGUGCAGCUUUUGGCCAGGUCACGGUGGGUGCUUCAAACCAGCUGGCGAGCCAUGUCCGUGCAGGUAACCUGUAUGAUGAAAUGCUACUGAAGAGUGCAAAUGCAGCAGCUCUGUGGAGAGCACAGAGCACUAGAGCAGACAGUCUUCAAUGCAGUGCUGCUGUACAGGGUAUGGUUUUCGCUUGUUGCAGUGCUGCGGCUGGAGUUCCUUCAGCCUUCAUCGUCGACCUCAUCGUGAUUUUUUCCAUUCAGAUUGAUCCACCUCUAGAAAAUUGACAAGAUUCUAUAUUCCAACAAUAUGAGUUGUGAAUUUGUGAUCCUUUGUAACUUCUGAUCAAAUUUCUCAUCAGUUACAGAUAAACGGCUCAUGUUUCCGGGGCAUGUUUAUUAUUAUAUAUCAUUAUGCAAAAUGUCAUUCUCCAUAUAA